rnacentral:rRNA from 1 species
AAACGACUCUCGGCAACGGAUAUCUCGGCUCUCGCAUCGAUGAAGAACGUAGCGAAAUGCGAUACUUGGUGUGAAUUGCAGAAUCCCGUGAACCAUCGAGUCUUUGAACGCAAGUUGCGCCCAAAGCCUUCGGGCCGAGGGCACGUCUGCCUGGGUGUCACGC